UACGAAGGGUGCAAGCGUUAAUCGGAAUUACUGGGCGUAAAGCGCGUGUAGGUGGUUCUAUAAGUAGGGCGUGAAAGCUCCCGGCUCAACUGGGAGAGGCCGUUCUAAACUGCAGAGCUAGAGGAUGGUAGAGGGAGGUGGAAUUCCAGGUGUAGCGGUGGAAUGCGCAGAUAUCUGGAGGAACACCAGUGGCGAAGGCGGCCUCCUGGACCAUUCCUGACACUCAGACGCGAAAGCUAGGGUAGCAAACGGGAUUAGAUACCCGUGUAGU
rnacentral:rRNA from 1 species